CUUUAAACAAGAUAUGCUAAUAUGCUGUAUGGUGGAAAAAUUCCUUUGGACGCUUGCAAUAAUCAAACUAGGAAAUAAAACAAUUCACUCUAUGGACCCUAUGAGAGAACAGAUAAAUUCCAUCAAAAGGAGAAGUGUAAUGGAAUAGUUGUUACUUACAACAAAGAUAAGGUGUUUUAGAAAAGUUUGAAAUAUUAACAUUUCCACAUGCCAUACAAGCUGAAGGUAUAACAUUUGGAGUAUUCUGCCUUAAGGUAACUUUAAGAGUCUUAACUGUA